AGGAACCUGCCUCAAAGAGGGGGACAACAGUUGGAAACGACUGCUAAUACCGCAUAAGCCCACGGCUCGGCAUCGAGCAGAGGGAAAAGGAGCAAUCCGCUUUGAGAUGGCCUCGCGUCCGAUUAGCUAGUUGGUGAGGUAACGGCCCACCAAGGCGACGAUCUCUAGCUGGUCUGAGAGGAUGAUCAGCCACACUGGGACUGAGACACGGCCCAG
rnacentral:rRNA from 1 species